rnacentral:rRNA from 1 species
GACGAACGCUGGCGGCGUGCCUAACACAUGCAAGUCGAACGAAGCUCCCUGAACAGCGACUUCGGUCAACGGGAUGGGAAGACUUAGUGGCGGACGGGUGAGUAACGCGUGAGGAACCUGCCUUUCAGUGGGGGACAACAGUUGGAAACGACUGCUAAUACCGCAUAACGCGUAGAGGUCGCAUGGCCUUUACGCCAAAGAUUUAUCGCUGAAAGAUGGCCUCGCGUCUGAUUAGCUAGUUGGUGAGGUAACGGCCCACCAAGGCGACGAUCAGUAGCCGGACUGAGAGGUUGAACGGCCACAUUGGGACUGAGAUACGGCCCAGACUCCUACGGGAGGCAGCAGUGGGGAAUAUUGGGCAAUGGGCGCAAGCCUGACCCAGCAAUGCCGCGUGAAGGAGAAGGCUUUCGGGUUGUAAACUUCUUUUGUCAGGACGAGUAGAAGACGGUACCUGACGAAUAAGCCACGGCUAACUACGUG